UGUUUCGGCAAGGGGGUCAUCCCGACUUACCAACCCGAUGCAAACUGCGAAUACCGGAGAAUGUUAUCACGGGAGACACACGGCGGGUGCUAACGUCCGUCGUGAAGAGGGAAACAACCCAGACCGCCAGCUAAGGUCCCAAAGUCAUGGUUAAGUGGGAAACGAUGUGGGAAGGCCCAGACAGCCAGGAUGUUGGCUUAGAAGCAGCCAUCAUUUAAAGAAAGCGUAAUAGCUCACUGGUCGAGUCGGCCUGCGCGGAAGAUGUAACGGGGCUAAACCAUGCACCGAAGCUGCGGCAGCGACGCUGAUGCGUUGUUGGGUAGGGGAGCGUUCUGUAAGCCUGCGAAGGUGUGCUGUGAGGCAUGCUGGAGGUAUCAGAAGUGCGAAUGCUGACAUAAGUAACGAUAAAGCGGGUGAAAAGCCCGCUCGCCGGAAGACCAAGGGUUCCUGUCCAACGUUAAUCGGGGCAGGGUGAGUCGACCCCUAAGGCGAGGCCGAAAGGCGUAGUCGAUGGGAAACAGGUUAAUAUUCCUGUACUUGGUGUUACUGCGAAGGGGGGACGGAGAAGGCUAUGUUGGCCGGGCGACGGUUGUCCCGGUUUAAGCGUGUAGGCUGGUUUUCCAGGCAAAUCCGGAAAAUCAAGGCUGAGGCGUGAUGACGAGGCACUACGGUGCUGAAGCAACAAAUGCCCUGCUUCCAGGAAAAGCCUCUAAGCAUCAGGUAACAUCAAAUCGUACCCCAAACCGACACAGGUGGUCAGGUAGAGAAUACCAAGGCGCUUGAGAGAACUCGGGUGAAGGAACUAGGCAAAAUGGUGCCGUAACUUCGGGAGAAGGCACGCUGAUAUGUAGGUGAAGUCCCUCGCGGAUGGAGCUGAAAUCAGUCGAAGAUACCAGCUGGCUGCAACUGUUUAUUAAAAACACAGCACUGUGCAAACACGAAAGUGGACGUAUACGGUGUGACGCCUGCCCGGUGCCGGAAGGUUAAUUGAUGGGGUUAGCGCAAGCGAAGCUCUUGAUCGAAGCCCCGGUAAACGGCGGCCGUAACUAUAACGGUCCUAAGGUAGCGAAAUUCCUUGUCGGGUAAGUUCCGACCUGCACGAAUGGCGUAAUGAUGGCCAGGCUGUCUCCACCCGAGACUCAGUGAAAUUGAACUCGCUGUGAAGAUGCAGUGUACCCGCGGCAAGACGGAAAGACCCCGUGAACCUUUACUAUAGCUUGACACUGAACAUUGAGCCUUGAUGUGUAGGAUAGGUGGGAGGCUUAGAAGUGUGGACGCCAGUCUGCAUGGAGCCGACCUUGAAAUACCACCCUUUAAUGUUUGAUGUUCUAACGUUGACCCGUAAUCCGGGUUGCGGACAGUGUCUGGUGGGUAGUUUGACUGGGGCGGUCUCCUCCUAAAGAGUAACGGAGGAGCACGAAGGUUGGCUAAUCCUGGUCGGACAUCAGGAGGUUAGUGCAAUGGCAUAAGCCAGCUUGACUGCGAGCGUGACGGCGCGAGCAGGUGCGAAAGCAGGUCAUAGUGAUCCGGUGGUUCUGAAUGGAAGGGCCAUCGCUCAACGGAUAAAAGGUACUCCGGGGAUAACAGGCUGAUACCGCCCAAGAGUUCAUAUCGACGGCGGUGUUUGGCACCUCGAUGUCGGCUCAUCACAUCCUGGGGCUGAAGUAGGUCCCAAGGGUAUGGCUGUUCGCCAUUUAAAGUGGUACGCGAGCUGGGUUUAGAACGUCGUGAGACAGUUCGGUCCCUAUCUGCCGUGGGCGCUGGAGAACUGAGGGGGGCUGCUCCUAGUACGAGAGGACCGGAGUGGACGCAUCACUGGUGUUCGGGUUGUCAUGCCAAUGGCACUGCCCGGUAGCUAAAUGCGGAAGAGAUAAGUGCUGAAAGCAUCUAAGCACGAAACUUGCC
rnacentral:rRNA from 1 species